UACGUAGGGCGCAAGCGUUGUCCGGAAUUAUUGGGCGUAAAGAGCUCGUAGGCGGUCUGUCGCGUCUGCCGUGAAAACCCGAGGCUUAACCUCGUGGCUUGCGGUGGAUACGGGCAGACUAGAGGUAGGUAGGGGAGAAUGGAAUUCCCGGUGUAGCGGUGAAAUGCGCAGAUAUCGGGAGGAACACCGGUGGCGAAGGCGGUUCUCUGGGCCUUACCUGACGCUGAGGAGCGAAAGCGUGGGGGAGCGAACAGG
rnacentral:rRNA from 1 species